GGGGAUCAAAUUUUCAGCACAUGAACUUUUGCAGGACAGGCUCAAACUGUAGCCGUGGCCUGGAGUCUCGCUUAUUUGGGGCCUAUGCCUCGCCUUUGGGUAUCAGGCAGGGAAUACACAGCUCCCAGACAUCAGAGUGUGGCCUUUCCUCCUCUACAGUCUUGUUUCUCUGAGGUUAACAUCUUAUAGAAAAGAAAAAAGACUUCCUUCUUGUGGUGUGUAUGAACAAAGAGGUGCUAGCAGACUAAGUUUUUGAAAAGAUCUCACUUCCUCCUCACUCCCCCCAAGAAAUGAAAAUCAGAGACAAGUUUAGAAACUUCUGGAAAAGUAGCAUAGGGGGAAAAAGAUUCAAAAACUCAGGGUCAUAACUGAGGCUGUUUGUAGGAUGCAGGAGAAAUCCUGAUGGAACAGAGGACUAUGGGAACAGCUUCUCACUCCCAGCAAGACCUUCGGCUGAACAAGAAAAUCUGAUAAUGAUGAUUCCAAGCACUUCGUGGGCAGAAAUAUCUUGAAACGUGUCUGGUAAAUACAAAGACCCUGGCAGAAACACCAGGAUGAGCUGUCCCAGCCUUCCAAGGACAGCGGCCCUUCAGCCAGCAUCUGGCCUGAGCGAUCUCAUCUCGGAAGUCCUGUGGGAUUCGUACUCACUCAUCUCAAUUCUGAACCUAAAGAUGCAGCUUUCCGGGCUCCGAGCUCCCUGUGCAAGUGAUCCACCCCUCGGGAGCUCACUCAAAUGCACGUGCUGAUUUAGGUAGGUCUGGAGAGGACUGAGAUCCUGCCUGUCUAAGAGGCUGGGGCCUCUGCUCCGGCUGGUCCUCAGAGCUCACUUUGAGUACCAGGAUCUUGUCCGGAAGUGAGGAGGACUCUGUUGCCCCUCAGUCAAGGAGCCUCCUAAAAUGGGCUCCCUGAGCCCCGAUUUC
rnacentral:lncRNA from 1 species